rnacentral:tRNA from 1 species
GGCCCCAUCGUCUAGAGGUCUAGGACACCGGCUUUUCACGCCGGCAACGGGGGUUCGAGUCCCCCUGGGGUCA